rnacentral:rRNA from 1 species
UACGUAGGGUGCAAGCGUUAAUCGGAAUUACUGGGCGUAAAGCGUGCGCAGGCGGUUAUGUAAGACAGUUGUGAAAUCCCCGGGCUCAACCUGGGAACUGCAUCUGUGACUGCAUAGCUAGAGUACGGUAGAGGGGGAUGGAAUUCCGCGUGUAGCAGUGAAAUGCGUAGAUAUGCGGAGGAACACCGAUGGCGAAGGCAUCCCCUGGACCUGUACUGACGCUCAUG